UACGAAGGGUGCAAGCGUUAUUCGGAAUCACUGGGCUUAAAGGGUGCGUAGGCGGCGCGACAAGUUGGGUGUGAAAUCCCUCGGCUCAACCGAGGAACUGCGCCCAAAACUGUCGUGCUCGAGGGAGACAGAGGUGAGCGGAACUUAGGGUGGAGCGGUGAAAUGCGUUGAUAUCCUAAGGAACACCGGUGGCGAAAGCGGCUCACUGGGUCUCUUCUGACGCUGAGGCACGAAAGCUAGGGUAGCGAACGGG
rnacentral:rRNA from 1 species